rnacentral:rRNA from 1 species
GAGUUUGAUCUUGGCUCAGGACAAACGCUGGCGGGGUGCAUGAGACAUGCAAGUCGAACGGGGUUGAGCGGGCUUGCUCGAUCAACCUAGUGGCGGACGGCUGAGUAACGCGUAGGUGACCUACCCGGAAGUGGGGAAUAACUGCCCGAAAGGGUGGCUAAUACCGCAUGUGGUCGGCGAUUCGGUUCGCCGCCCAAAGCCGCAAGGCGCUUCCGGCGGGGCCUGCGUCCGAUUAGCUAGUUGGUGGGGUAAUGGCUCACCAAGGCGACGAUCGGUAGCUGGUCUGAGAGGAUGAUCAGCCAGACUGGGACUGAGAACGGCCCAGACUCCUACGGGAGGCAGCAGUCGGGAAUUUUGCCCAAUGGACGAAAGUCUGAGGCAGCAACUCCGCGUGAGGGACGAAGGCCUUCGGGUCGUAACCUACUUUCUCAGGAAGAUCCAAGACGGUAUCUGAGGAAUAAGCCACGGCUAACUACGUAGCCAGCAGCCGCCGCA